rnacentral:rRNA from 1 species
GAGUUUGAUCCUGGAUCACAACCAACGUUGGCGGCGUGGAUUAGGCACCCACCUCCAACGAGUGCCGCUGGGGGUAACUCUGCGGCGCAAGUGGCGAGAGGGGCAGUAAGGUAUGGAUAACUUGCCCCGGAGUUCGGAAUAGCCUUCCUAACGGAUGGGAAAUACCGAAUGCCGUAUGUGAGGAGCAUUCUUUGCAUACUACAGCUCCGGCGCUCCGGGUGGGGUCCAUAUACUAUUACCUAGUUGGUAGGGCAACCGCCUACCCACGCCAAUAUGCUUAGCGUGUGUGACAGCACGACCUGCGCCACUGGCACUGCCACACUGGCCACACUCCUACGGGAGGCUGCAGUCGAGGAUCUUCGGCAAUGGGCGCAAGCCUGACCGAGCGACGCCACGUGUGCGAUGAUCGCCUUCGGGUUGUAAAGCACUGUCCAGGGGGAGAAAAGGGUAACAUUGAUCGGCCCCUGGAGGAAGCACGGGGUAAGUUCGUGCCAGCAGCCGCGGUAAGACGAACCGUGCGAACGUUGUUCGGAAUCACUGGGCUUAAAGGGCGCGUAGGCGGGCAAGCAAGUCAGAGGUGAAAUCCCACGGCUCAACCGUGGAAGAGCCCCUGGUACUGCAAGUCUUGAGGGAGGUAGGGGCGUGCGGAACUUCCGGUGGAGCGGUGAAAUGCGUAGAUAUCGGAAGGAACACCGGUGGCGAAAGCGGCGCGCUGGACCUCUACUGACGCUGAGGCGCGAAAGCCAGGGGAGCAAACGGGAUUAGAUACCCCGGUAGUCCUGGCCCUAAACGAU